AUUGAACGCUGGCGGCAGGCCUAACACAUGCAAGUCGAACGGUAACAGGAAGCAGCUUGCUGCUUCGCUGACGAGUGGCGGACGGGUGAGUAAUGUCUGGGAAGCUGCCUGAUGGAGGGGGAUAACUACUGGAAACGGUAGCUAAUACCGCAUAAUGUCGCAAGACCAAAGAGGGGGACCUUCGGGCCUCUUGCCAUCGGAUGUGCCCAGAUGGGAUUAGCUUGUUGGUGGGGUAACGGCUCACCAAGGCGACGAUCCCUAGCUGGUCUGAGAGGAUGACCAGCCAAACUGGAACUGGGAAACGGUCCAGAACCCUACGGGAGGCAGCAGGGGGGAAUAUUGCACAAUGGGCGCAAGCCUGAUGCAGCCAUGCCGCGGGUAUGAAGAAGGCCUUCGGGUUGUAAAGUACUUUCAGCGGGGAGGAAGGGAGUAAAGUUAAUACCUUUGCUCAUUGACGUUACCCGCAGAAGAAGCACCGGCUAACUCCGU
rnacentral:rRNA from 1 species